UACGGGAGGCAGCAGUGGGGAAUAUUGCACAAUGGGCGAAAGCCUGAUGCAGCUAUGCCGCGUGUAUGAAGAAGGCCUUAGGGUUGUAAAGUACUUUCAUCGGGGAGGAAAAACAAAACUAAUAAUUUUAUUUCUUGACGUUACCCGAAAAAGAAGCACCGGCUAACUCCGUGCCAGCAGCCGCGGUAAUACGGAGGGUGCUAGCGUUAAUCAGAAUUACUGGGCGUAAAGAGCACGUAGGUGGUUUUUUUAAGUCAGAUGUGAAAUCCCUGGGCUUAACCUAGGAACUGCAUUUUGAAACUGAAAUACUAGAGUAUCGUAGAGGGAGGUAGAAUUCUAGGUGUAGCGGUGAAAUGCGUAGAUAUCUGGAGGAAUACCUGUGGCGAAAGCGGCCUCCUAAACGAAUACUGACACUGAGGUGCGAAAGCGUGGGGAGGCAAAACAGGGAUUAGAUACC
rnacentral:rRNA from 1 species